rnacentral:rRNA from 1 species
GACGAACGCUGGCGGCGUGCUUAACACAUGCAAGUCGAACGGAAAGGCCCUGCUUUUGUGGGGUGCUCGAGUGGCGAACGGGUGAGUAACACGUGAGUAACCUGCCCUUGACUUUGGGAUAACUUCAGGAAACUGGGGCUAAUACCGGAUAGGAGCUCCUGCUGCAUGGUGGGGGUUGGAAAGUUUCGGCGGUUGGGGAUGGACUCGCGGCUUAUCAGCUUGUUGGUGGGGUAGUGGCUUACCAAGGCUUUGACGGGUAGCCGGCCUGAGAGGGUGGACGGGCACCUUGGGCCUGAGAUACGGCGCAGUAUCCUACGGGAGGCAGCAGUGGAGAAUAUGACACAACGGCGGGAAGUCUGAUACAACAACGCCGCGAGCGGAAUGCCGUCUUUCGGGUUGUAAACAGCUUUCGACUGUGCCGAAGCGUGAGUGACGGUAAUGGGUAAAGAAGCACCGGCUAACUACGUG